UACGGGAGGCAGCAGUGGGGAAUAUUGCACAAUGGGCGCAAGCCUGAUGCAGCCAUGCCGCGUGUAUGAAGAAGGCCUUCGGGUUGUAAAGUACUUUCAGUCGUGAGGAAGGUGUUAAGGUUAAUAACCUUAGCAAUUGACGUUAGCGACAGAAGAAGCACCGGCUAACUCCGUGCCAGCAGCCGCGGUAAUACGGAGGGUGCGAGCGUUAAUCGGAAUUACUGGGCGUAAAGGGCACGCAGGCGGUUAAUUAAGUUGGAUGUGAAUCCCCGGGCUUAACCUGGGAAUGGCAUUCAAGACUGGUUAGCUAGAGUCUUGUAGAGGGGGUAGAAUUCCAUGUGUAGCGGUGAAAUGCGUAGAGAUGUGGAGGAAUACCGGUGGCGAAGGCGGCCCCGUGGACAAAGACUGACGCUCAUGUGCGAAAGCGUGGGGAGCGAAA
rnacentral:rRNA from 1 species